GCCUCUUUGGCUCAGUCGGUUAGAGCGCAAGUCUCAUUAUCAUAAUUACACGCAGUGACUAUGUGAUUUUGAGGUCGAAAGUUCAAAUCUUUCAAGUGGCA
rnacentral:tRNA from 1 species